AGAGUUUGAUCAUGGCUCAGGAUGAACGCUGGCGGCGUGCCUAACACAUGCAAGUCGAGCGAUUUACUUCGGUAAAGAGCGGCGGACGGGUGAGUAACGCGUGGGUACCUGCCCUGUACACACGGAUAACAUACCGAAAGGUAUGCUAAUACGAGAUAAUAUACUUUUAUCGCAUGGUAGAAGUAUCAAAGCUCUGGCGGUACAGGAUGGACCCGCGUCUGAUUAGCUAGUUGGUAAGGUAACGGCUUACCAAGGCGACGAUCAGUAGCCGACCUGAGAGGGUGAUCGGCCACAUUGGAACUGAGACACGGUCCAAACUCCUACGGGAGGCAGCAGUGGGGAAUAUUGCACAAUGGGCGAAAGCCUGAUGCAGCAACGCCGCGUGAGCGAUGAAGGCCUUCGGGUCGUAAAGCUCUGUCCUCAAGGAAGAUAAUGACGGUACUUGAGGAGGAAGCCCCGGCUAACUACGUGCCAGCAGCCGCGGUAAUACGUAGGGGGCUAGCGUUAUCCGGAAUUACUGGGCGUAAAGGGUGCGUAGGUGGUUUCUUAAGUCAGAGGUGAAAGGCUACGGCUCAACCGUAGUAAGCCUUUGAAACUGGGAAACUUGAGUGCAGGAGAGGAGAGUGGAAUUCCUAGUGUAGCGGUGAAAUGCGUAGAUAUUAGGAGGAACACCAGUUGCGAAGGCGGCUCUCUGGACUGUAACUGACACUGAGGCACGAAAGCGUGGGGAGCAAACAGGAUUAGAUACCCUGGUAGUCCACGCCGUAAACGAUGAGUACUAGCUGUCGGAGGUUACCCCCUUCGGUGGCGCAGCUAACGCAUUAAGUACUCCGCCUGGGAAGUACGCUCGCAAGAGUGAAACUCAAAGGAAUUGACGG
rnacentral:rRNA from 1 species